rnacentral:rRNA from 1 species
GCAAGUCGAACGAACCUUCGGGUGAGUGGCGCACGGGUGCGUAACACGUGGGAAUAUACACACAGGUAAGGAAUAACACAGAGAAAUUUGUGCUAAUACCUUAUAAUGACUCCGGUCCAAAGAUUUAUCGCCUGUGGAUUAGCCCGCGCUAGAUUAGCUUGUUGGUGAGGUAAAAGCUCACCAAGGCUACGAUCUAUAGCUGGUCUGAGAGGACGACC